rnacentral:lncRNA from 1 species
CUGCUGAAGCUUCCUGGAUACCUGGAGUGUCAGUUGUCGAAGCUGUGGACGAGGAAGACUCAUCACCAACUACUUCAGUCCACGACUCUGAAAAUCCAUUGGAAGUUGAGGUCGUAGACCCGUGCAGAGUAGAUGAAAACAUGAAUUCAGAUGACAAAAUUAAUCAUCCAAAAUCUGCAUCUGUCAAUAGUAUUGACUGUUUGGUUGAUGGCGAAGCCACUUCUGGCGAGCUGCUGACCAUGCAGAGUAGAUCAAAACACGAAUUCAGAUAAAAUUAAUCAUCCAAAAUCUGCAUCUGUCAAUAAUAUUGACUGUUUGGUUGAUGGCGAAGCCGCUUCUGGUGAGCUUCUGGACAUCACUUUGGCACAAUGCUC